GCGUUGUCCGGAAUUAUUGGGCGUAAAGAGCUCGUAGGCGGUCUGCUACGUCCGCUGUGAAAACCUAGGGCUUAACCCUGGGCUUGCAGUAGAUACGGGCAGACUAGAGGUAGGUAGGGGAGAAUGGAAUUCCCGGUGUAGCGGUGAAAUGCGCAGAUAUCGGGAGGGACACCGGUGGCGAAGGCGGUUCUCUGGGCCUUACCUGACGCUGAGGAGCGAAAGCGUG
rnacentral:rRNA from 1 species